GAUCAAUUAGCCUUUUAAAAUGAUAAACUUGGAUUAACUAACACAACAUGCCAUUGGAACACAGGAGUGAUGGUUGCUGAUAAUGGGCCUCUGUACGCCUAUGUAGAUAUUCCAUAAAAAAUCCAGCUACAAUAGUCAUUUACAACAUUAACAAUGUCUACACUGUAUUUCUGAUCAAUUUGAUGUUAUUUUAAUGGACAAAAAAUGUGCUUUUCUUUCAAAAACACAGACAUUACUAAGUGACCCCUAAAUGAGGCUGGAUGAACUGUUUCGCUGCCAGACAAGGCUCUGCUGAUAGCCAGGUGUAGCAGUGGUAAGGUGUUGGGACUGCUGUUGGUACAGCUUUAUGUAGGCCCUAACAGUUUGUGGGCACUGUUUGUCACCAUUAUAGUCCAAUUAAUGUAUUGUUUAGUGUUGUGUUGUUUAGUGGCUUUGCUGGCAUGCAUCUAAAAAAUUGUUUGGUUUGUUUAUCCCACCAAGAUGUAUAUGUUAAAAUCGCCACUGAUAACACAGAUAACAUACACAGUAGUACUAUUGGGUAUAGAAGCCAAUAUCCACAAGCUGCCAAUCCACAAGGCCCCAGUUCAGCUAUAAUAGACCAACGCAAAUGCAAUGAACAGUAAACAAAUGCAUACACACAUGCACGGAUGCAGUGUUUACCUUUGGUUGACAUGGCUUAAAUGCCAGAGUUACGAUGAUUGGCUGAUUGACUGUGAAGUCUGUAAUUUGUAUGUGGGCCUCUGGGAGACGUCACUCACCUCUAGUAGAUGUCCUCACAGCUCCCAUCCUGCCCUGAAAAGUGUUAUGUCCACUGACAAGGAGUAGUGACGCUGCUCAGUGACCCAAGCCUACCAGACAAGCUCACGUUGAGGCAAGCAACACUGAACCAUGCAUGAGAGUACCAGCUAUUCCGGACGACUGUGUAAUCUCGCUCUCCGUAGCCGAUCUCAGCAUUCAACACCAUAGUCCCCUCCAAGCUCAUCACCAAGCUCAGGACCCUGGGACUGAACACCUUCCUCUGCAACUGGAUCCUGGACUUCCUGACGGGCCAGCCCCAGGCGGUGAGGGUAGGCAACAACACAUCCGCCACGCUGACCAUCAAAUCAAAUUUGCACCGAAUACAACUCUUAUAGACUUUACAGUGAAAUGCUUGCUUACAAACAUUUCCCAAUGAUGCAGAGUAAACUAAAUAAAUAAUAUUAACCAACACAAGACAAAUAAAAUAAAAUACACAAGAAUGGAGCUAUAUACAGGGAGUACCAGUACCAGAUCAAUGUGGAGCUAUAUACAGGGAGUACCAGUACCAGAUCAAUGUGGAGCUAUAUACAGAGAGUACCAGUACCAGAUCAAUGUGGAGCUAUAUACAGGGAGUACCAGUACCAGAUCAAUGUGGAGCUAUAUACAGGGAGUACCAGUACCAGAUCAAUGUGGAGCUAUAUACAGAGAGUACCAGUACCAGAUCAAUGUGGAGCUAUAUACAGAGAGUACCAGUACCAGAUCAAUGUGGAGCUAUAUACAGGGAGUACCAGUAGCAGAUCAAUGUGGAGCUAUAUACAGGGAGUACCAGUUCCAGAUCAAUGUGGAGCUAUAUACAGGGAGUACCAGUACCAGAUCAAUGUGGAGCUAUAUACAGGGAGUACCAGUAGCAGAUCAAUGUGGAGCUAUAUACAGGGAGUACCAGUACCAGAUCAAUGUGGAGCUAUAUACA
rnacentral:lncRNA from 1 species